rnacentral:rRNA from 1 species
CUUGCCCUCUAUAGUAGAUCUCUCAGAUUGAGGUGGGCCUGGUACACAUGGAAGUCACCCUCUCGGCCAUGGGUUGGAACCCAACUCCCCUGCUCCAAGACUGAUUUGCAGCUCUUCAACGCCUCUACAACCAUCAGACUUGGUGACGGAAAAUGUGCUCUGUUCUGGAAAAAUGCGUGGUUGAACGGAGCGGCACCAAAAGACAUUGCACCAAACCUUUUCUCUCUAGCCAGACGGAAGAAUGACACUGUCAAGAAUGCACUUCACCAGGGCCGCUGGAUGAAGGGCAUCGAGAGGCUCUCCACUACUGCUGAUUUGCUAAGCUUCAUUGACCUAUGGCAUCAGAUCAACCAAAUCACUCUCUCUGACCAGCCAGGUGAGAUUGACUGGAGAUGGACUAGCAAUAACAACUACACCGCUGCCUCGGCCUACAAUGCCCAGUUCACGGGAUCCAUCAUGAAGCCCCAGCUUAAUGCAAUCUGGAAAACAAAGGUGGAGGGGAAAGUUAAAUUCUUUGCUUGGCUCCUGGUUCUGAAUCGCCUGCCCACGGCUGACAGACUCCGUGCGAGAGGAUGUGAUCAUAAUGACACAUGCUCCCUUUGCGACCAAACUAUUGAAUCGGCAUCCCACCUAGUCUGCCAUUGCCCCUUCGCCAAGGAAGUUUGGCACAAAUUGGCUGUCCUGCAACCUGAUGUCCAACUGCCACCCACACAACCUUUCAGAUCAUCGGCGGCCUGGUGGAAAAGUUUUCUCCAUGGCCAGCGAGCACAUGCUGCAACUACGCUCUACUUUGCUUGGAAUGUUUGGAAUGAGCGAAACCGUAGAAUCUUCCAAAACCAGUCGGCUACUGCUGACAUGGUAGCUUGUUUGGUGCGUUCGGACCUGGCUUCGUUAGUUCUG